AACACGAGAGUGGACGUAUACGGUGUGACACCUGCCCGGUGCCGGAAGGUUAAUUGAUGGGGUUAGCGCAAGCGAAGAGUUGA
rnacentral:rRNA from 1 species